rnacentral:rRNA from 1 species
AUUGAACGCUGGCGACAGGCCUAACACAUGCAAGUCGAGCGGCAGCGGAAAGUAGCUUGCUACUUUGCCGGCGAGCGGCGGACGGGUGAGUAAUGUCUGGGAAACUGCCUGAUGGAGGGGGAUAACUACUGGAAACGGUAGCUAAUACCGCAUAACGUCGCAAGACCAAAGAGGGGGACCUUCGGGCCUCUUGCCAUCAGAUGUGCCCAGAUGGGAUUAGCUAGUAGGUGGGGUAAUGGCUCACCUAGGCGACGAUCCCUAGCUGGUCUGAGAGGAUGACCAGCCACACUGGAACUGAGACACGGUCCAGACUCCUACGGGAGGCAGCAGUGGGGAAUAUUGCACAGUGGGCGCAAGCCUGAUGCAGCCAUGCCGCGUGUAUGAAGAAGGCCUUCGGGUUGUAAAGUACUUUCAGCGGGGAGGAAGGUGUUGAGGUUAAUAACCUCAGCAAUUGACGUUACCCGCAGAAGAAGCACCGGCUAACUCCGUGCCAGCAGCCGCAGUAA